CAAUGUUGCAUUAUCUUUCAUAGUGAUCCAUUCGAAGCUUUAGGUAAUUGUUGAACACAGACCACAAUUUUAGGAUGACAAGGAAGGGCAUGAACAGGACAACUGCUGACUGGCUAGUUAGACUAGAGCCGUAUGUUAUAGAAUGGGAGACAGCAAACACAAAUCUAUGGCACGAGAAUCACAAUUUCGAUCUCGAUGAAUUCAAUCUCUAUUUGCGGCGCUACAUGACCGGAACACGGUUACGCAUUGUUGAGUACUCCCACCCAGAGGAGAUACCGGAUCCUACUCCGUCGGAUAUGUACCCGAGCUAUGAUACUUCGGGCUCUAGGCAGUACGCGGCUACCUUGACACGCGAACUCUACGACGACGUGACCACCUUUGGACGAUCACUAUCGUCUGGACCUCUUCUUCAUCAUCGUCCAGUGGUACAACCCUUCUUGGAAAGAAUUCAGAAUAAGAUACGGAC